CAGGAGAAAUGAAGAGAUAAUGGCGCUACUAAACUAAAUGUAAAGCAAGAUUUGGUUUCCAAGUUACAAGCAAAGCAACCAACGAAUCCAUUAAAUUAAUAUGCUCACUCAUCAUUAAAUGUUUUCCCAUGCUGUAGAGAGCUCCUCUCAUUAACCACACUUGACUACUUUGAUAAAACCCAAAAACACUUGAAAAGAAAUAAAUCCCAGAAAGAGACUUGUACAGUUAAAACACAAGCUUUCUGACCAUAGAAAAACCCCAGCAAAGGAUUAUCAGAUUCUAGUCUCCAGUGCUAAUAUUAUCUUCUUCCUUG
rnacentral:misc_RNA from 1 species